GACGAACGCUGGCGGCGUGCUUAACACAUGCAAGUCGAACGGAAAGGCCCUGCUUUUGUGGGGUGCUCGAGUGGCGAACGGGUGAGUAACACGUGAGUAACCUGCCCUUGACUUUGGGAUAACUUCAGGAAACUGGGGCUAAUACCGGAUAGGAGCUCCUGCUGCAUGGUGGGGGUUGGAAAGUUUCGGCGGUUGGGGAUGGUCUCGCGGCUUAUCAGCUUGUUGGUGGGGUAGUGGCUUACCAAGGCUUUGACGGGUAGCCGGCCUGAGAGGGUGACCGGCCACAUUGGGACUACGAGACGGCCCAGACUCCUACGGGAGGCAGCAGGGGGGAGUAUUGCACAAUGGGCGGAAGCCUGAUGCAGCAACGCCGCGUGCGGGAUGACGGCCUUUGGGUUGUAAACCGCUUUCGCAUGUGACGAAGCGUGAGUGACGGUAAUGGGUAAAGAAGCACCGGCUAACUACGUG
rnacentral:rRNA from 1 species